rnacentral:rRNA from 1 species
AAGGGCUUGAGAUCAGACUUGGUAUUUUGCGAUCCUUUCCUUCUUGGUUGGGUUCUCCGCAGCUUACUGGGCCAGCAUCGGUUUGGAUGGUAGGAUAAUGAUUAAGGAAUGUGGCUCUACUUCGGUGGAGUGUUAUAGCCUUGGUUGAUACUGCCUGUCUAGACCGAGGACUGCGUCUUUGACUAGGAUGCUGGCAUAAUGAUCUUAAGCCA